rnacentral:rRNA from 1 species
UACGGGGGGUGCGAGCGUUGUCCGGAAUCACUGGGCGUAAAGGGCGCGUAGGUGGCGUCGUAAGUCUGUGGUGAAAGCCCGGAGCUCAACUCCGGGUCUGCCGCGGAUACUGCGAGGCUUGAGUGCUGUAGAGGGGGGUAGAAUGCCGGGUGUAGCGGUGGAAUGCGCAGAUAUCAGGAGGAACACCGAUGGCGAAGGCAGAUCUCUGGGCCGUAACUGACGCUGAGGAGCGAAAGCAUGGGGAGCGAACAGG